rnacentral:rRNA from 1 species
AUUGAACGCUGGCGGCAUGCCUUACACAUGCAAGUCGAACGGCAGCGGACCUUCGGUGCCGGCGAGUGGCGAACGGGUGAGUAAUAUAUCGGAACGUACCUUUCAGUGGGGGAGUAACGUAGCGAAAGUUACGCUAAUACCGCAUAUUCUGUGAGCAGGAAAGCAGGGGAGUCGCAAGACCUUGUGCUACUAGAGCGGCCGAUGGCAGAUUAGGUAGUUGGUGGGAUAAAAGCUUACCAAGCCGACGAUCUGUAGCUGGUCUGAGAGGACGAUCAGCCACACUGGGACUGAGACACGGCCCAGACUCCUACGGGAGGCAGCAGUUGGGGGAAUUUUUGACGAAUAGGCGGCGAA